UAACAGCUCAAAUUUGAAAUCUGGCUCCUGCGGAGUCCGAGUUGUAAUUUGUAGAAGAUGCUUUGGGAGGGAGGCUCGGCCUAAGUUCCUUGGAACAGGACAUCAGAGAGGGUGAGAAUCCCGUAUGUGGCCGUGGUCUCCGCCCGUGUAAAGCUCUUUCGACGAGUCGAGUUGUUUGGGAAUGCAGCUCAAAAUGGGUGGUAAAUUUCAUCUAAAGCUAAAUAUUGGCCAGAGACCGAUAGCGCACAAGUAGAGUGAUCGAAAGAUGAAAAGCACUUUGGAAAGAGAGUUAAACAGUACGUGAAAUUGUUGAAAGGGAAGCGCUUGCACCCAGACUUGGGCGUCGUCGAUCAUCCGAGGUUCUCCUCGGUGCACUCGGCGAGGCACAGGCCAGCAUCGGUUUGGAUGGUUGGAGAAAGGCUCUAGGAACGUAGCUCGCUUCGGGGAGUGUUAUAGCCUAGGGCGGAAUGCAGCCCAUCUGGACCGAGGACCGCGCCUUCGGGCUAGGAUGCUGGCGUAAUGGUUGCAAGCGACCCG
rnacentral:rRNA from 1 species